rnacentral:lncRNA from 1 species
CAUACGGAAAAGUAAACCACUGGUGAUACGAUAGAAGCUUCCAAGGGAACAGUGCCCUCACCACGAUUGGGUUUGGGGAUAUAUCCAUUCACUUUAGGAGACCAGACCACUGGGUGAUUUUAAGAUUUACAUGAAUGUUAUAGGGGUUUUAAGUAGCCUAUUUUAUAUUUUUACCCUAAUAUUUUAAAAAUCUAACAUGAAACAAGUUAUUCUUCUCUUGGUCAGGAAGUCUUCAGUUGGUUAGAUGAAGGGCUAAACGAAGGUUUUGGGGACUGCCUACUGCUUCCUCUCUACUAUUCCUUAUUCUCUCCCCAAUACCCUGUUCCCCAGUCCCAUUGUUGUCUUUUUUCAUUUUAGCCUUAGCAUAAAGUAAGUCAGAAAUAAAAAUUUGUUACUUACUAAAACUUGAAAUAAUCUUUUGCUGUUAAACCAAGGUAAACUCUAUGUCUAGUCUGUGGCCUCAAAUAAAUGAAUGUAUUGUUAACUUUUGUAGGCAACAGUCAAUUUUCUUAAAAACAACAAAAAAAAGUAAAUACCACAUUGACUAACAUGCUAAACGGGGGAAUUAAUAUCAUUAUAUAUUUGUCUGUGUGUUUUGUCUCAUGGUUCAUCAGUAGGCCUAUUCCUGCUUUGUCUAGGAUCAUUCUG